rnacentral:rRNA from 1 species
UACGGAGGGUGCAAGCGUUGUCCGGAUUUAUUGGGCGUAAAGAGCUCGUAGGCGGCUUGUCGCGUCGUCCGUGAAAACCCACAGCUCAACUGUGGGCUUGCGGUCGAUACGGGCAGGCUAGAGUUCGGUAGGGGAGACUGGAAUUCCUGGUGUAGCGGUGAAAUGCGCAGAUAUCAGGAGGAACACCGAUGGCGAAGGCAGGUCUCUGGGCCGAUACUGACGCUGAGGAGCGAAAGCGUGGGGAGCGAACAGG